CAACUGUUAGCUAAGAUAACACAGCAUACUCUUCAUGCAGGUGCAUGUAUCAAACACACCCUUUGUUUCAAGGUGGGCUUUUUAAACCGAUGCCCUGCCCACUGAAGGCUCCUUUGCUGCUACUGAAAUGUGUCGUCUAUAGUUUUGACAAAUGCUACACACAACAGUACUGUUGCUGUGGGGUGGCUUGUUAGAUGUUUGUGCUGCACACUGGCUAGAUUUAACAACCCUGUUGCUUAUCUGCUGGUCAUAUUAGGUGUAGGCCUCAAACACACUCUCUAAGCUUGAAGAUUUCCCAUUUGUUUGGGACCACAGAGACCCUAUCGGAAAGGUUCCAGAUGCAGGACAUCACUGCUUUACCUCGUUCAGGUAUGCAGGGCAGCUAUGACAUGAAGGAGGCUCAGAGAUCACACUGGGGUCACUCGAUUAUAAGAUUCCCAGCAGGCACAGACCAGCAAAGAUGGAGAAACCGGAAGGAAAGCAAUAAGAAAGCCAAAAGGAAAUGGAAGAGGUUUAAAGGGUGGGGUGGAUGAAAGCAGAAGAGGAGGUGGAGUAGAAAAUUGAACCAAGAUGAGAAAUGGCAAAGCAAUGACAAAUCAUUUCUCUGACGAUUGCUGUGGCUCAGACGGGAGUGAAAUUAGAAUAAUCUGGUUAAAUCUUGUGACAUAUCAACUAGCCUGCAAGACUGUGCUGAGUGCUGCAACCUGUUGUAAUGGAAGUGAACAUGCUGAGAUUAAAAGAGGAACUCGC